rnacentral:lncRNA from 1 species
CACCCUUGUCCUUGUCCUCGGUCCGGCUUGCCUCUCUCAGAGUCAGUGGGAGCUCAUCCUCUGUCUGCAGCUUGGCCUGGCCCAGAACUGAGGCUCCCAGGAGCUCCGCAUCGCAGCAGCCGCGGCGGGGGGCCGCUCCGUGCCGCAGAGCUGGGAGCUCAGCCGCCGCUGGGGAGGGGCGGGGAGCCCAGGAAGGAAGCUGGAGGCCCAAAGAUGGAUGCUUGUAGAAGCAGGAAGCACAGGAGAGAGAAAUAAACAGCUGCCACUGCAGACUUCCAGCUUCCAUCCCCUGGGCCCUCAUUGAUUUUCUCCAUCGUUCCAACCGUGAGCGGGAGCCCCAUUAAUCACUGCUCUGCCCAUGAUGGACGGCAGGUACUCCAUCUUGUUUUGAUUAAUUUCAUUCUCACAUGGAUUGUUCUGAUUUCCAGCAUUGCCGGAGCUCAGUCUGUAGGAGAUGAUUCAUUUGGGGGAGAUUGAAGGGAAGGGCGGGGAGGAGAGCUGGAAAAGGAGAAUGGUGGGUAGAGCAGUCAUUGCCUGAAUCUGAUUGAGUCUGUCUGUUAACAUGAGUGGCUCCCCACCUCCCCCACCCUCACCCUAAGAAUAGCAAUACCAGCUGUACCAGCAGGAGCUAUGUCUAAAUUAAUAAAAUGAAGUGGGAUUAUUGGCCUUUUC